CGACGAUUACAUGAAGGCCAGGUUGAUGACCUUGCCUGAUUUUUCGAGAGGUGGUGCAUGGCCGCCGUCAGUUCGUACCGUAAGGCGUUCUGUUAAGUCAGAUAACGAACGAGACCCUCAUUGCCAUUUGCUAGGGUCUUCUCAGGAAGGGGUUGCACUAUGGCGAUACCGCCACUGCUGAAGUGGAGGAAGGAGGGGGCAACGGUAGGUCAGUAUGCCCCGAAUCUCCCGGGCUACACGCGCGCUACAAAGGGCAGGACAAUGGGCUUCGACGCCGAAAGGCGGAGGCAAUCCCGAAACCUGCUCGUACUUCGGAUUGAGUGCUGCAAUUCGCCCUCAUGAAGCUGGAAUCCGUAGUAAUCGCGGGUCAACAUCCCGCGGUGAAUAUGCCCCUGCUCCUUGCACACACCGCCCGUCAAACCACCUUAGUUGGGUCUGGACGAGGGCUCGCCUUUUGGCGCGCUCGAAUCUGGGUUCAGCGAGGAGGGUUAAGUCGUAACAAGGUA
rnacentral:rRNA from 1 species